UGGGGAAUAUUGCACAAUGGGCGCAAGCCUGAUGCAGCAACGCCGCGUGAGGGAUGACGGCCUUCGGGUUGUAAACCUCUUUUAGUAGGGAAGAAGCGAAAGUGACGGUACCUGCAGAAAAAGCACCGGCUAACUACGUGCCAGCAGCCGCGGUAAUACGUAGGGUGCGAGCGUUGUCCGGAAUUAUUGGGCGUAAAGAGCUCGUAGGCGGUCUGUCGCGUCUGCUGUGAAAACCCGAGGCUCAACCUCGGGCCUGCAGUGGGUACGGGCAGACUAGAGUGCGGUAGGGGAGAAUGGAAUUCCUGGUGUAGCGGUGGAAUGCGCAGAUAUCAGGAGGAACACCGAUGGCGAAGGCAGUUCUCUGGGCCGUAACUGACGCUGAGGAGCGAAAGCGUGGGGAGCGAACAGGAUUAGAUACCCUGGUAGUCCACGCCGUAAACGUUGGGCGCUAGAUGUGGGGACCAUUCCACGGUUUCCGUGUCGCAGCUAACGCAUUAAGCGCCCCGCCU
rnacentral:rRNA from 1 species